UAUCCUACGGGAGGCAGCAGUGAGGAAUAUUGGUCAAUGGGCGUAAGCCUGAACCAGCCAAGUCGCGUGAGGGAUGAAGGUUCUAUGGAUCGUAAACCUCUUUUAUAAGGGAAUAAAGGGCGGGACGUGUCCUGUUUUGUAUGUACCUUAUGAAUAAGGAUCGGCUAACUCCGUGCCAGCAGCCGAGGUAAUACGGAGGAUCCGGGGGUUAUGCGGAUUUAUUGGGUGUAACGGGUGCGUAGGCGGCAUUUUAUGUCAGAGG
rnacentral:rRNA from 1 species